UACGAAGGAUGCAAGCGUUAUCCGGAAUUAUUGGGUUUAAAGGGUGCGUAGGCGGACCUAUAAGUCAGUGGUGAAAGCCCCAAGCUCAACUUGGGAACUGCCAUUGAUACUGUUGGUCUUGAGUACAGUUGAGGUAGGCGGAAUGUGUCAUGUAGCGGUGAAAUGCUUAGAUAUGACACAGAACACCGAUUGCGAAGGCAGCUUGCUAAGCUGUAACUGACGCUGAUGCACGAAAGCGUGGGUAGCAAACAAGG
rnacentral:rRNA from 1 species